GCCAACGCUAUGGCCGACUGGGCGAGUUGGGGUCUUGGGAGAGGGAUUAGGAUCAGCUCUCUCUAGACGACUUACUCGUUCUCCCGGUACUGAAUACCUGUACGCGUCAACGUAUGUUGGCAUUCAUACCCGAGGAAAUAGUGUUGACGGGGGGUGUCCUUGUUCAAAGACGCCGGGCCAUUUCAUCUGCUUUUUCUGACUUGUCCCUUGACAAAGGUCUUCUACAUUUCGAUGACGCAGAUACACAAUGAUAUGGGAGUUCGUGUUUGACCACUCCUGAUGUGCUGAGACAUCCAGAAAGGACUACAUAAUGGCGGGUAAAAAGUCAGCCAAGAAAUCAGGCAAGAAAUCUGGAAAGAGAUCGAAGUCUGCGGGCUCAAAAAAAUCCAAGAAGUCUGCCAAAAGUACAAUCUCAUCAGCGAAAUCAACAGCAAGUGCCCCAGAUUUGUUGCACCCUUCUGUCAUGGAAAACUUAUACUGUGUAGCCCACAAUGCACCAGACGCCUUGGAAAAGACGGGAUUUGGCUGGCCGGAUGCAUCAAAAGGAAAGAAAAAGAAGGGAGGGAAGAGAGGGAAAAAGAAGAAGAAGAAGUAAACUGUACCUUUAUUGGCAUGCUGUAGUCAAUGUAUCAUAAGAAAUAUCAUCAAUGUUUAGCACAUACUUAUAGUGUUAUUUUAAUGUGCAACCAGUGCAGAGAAAAUGCUGGUUCUUUGAGUUUGAGAGAAUGAAAACUGCUUUGUCAUUACUUUUGUCUUUACAUCGUCAACACUCAUCAUUGAUUUAACUAGAAACAGAGAUUAAACAAUGAAGGAUUGUUGCAACUGAUAGGAGUUGGUUGCUAUCAUUUUACAGAAGAUCACAAUUGUUUAUUUUCUCAUCAACCGUGCUAUGAAGAGGCAGGGGUGUGUUGUCGAUCAUUGAUACAAAUAUGGAAAGACUAGUGAUUUAUAAUUUUUUUUGAAAAAUUAUUUUUAGGAUUCUAUUGUCUUCUUCUAUUGUAGUGCUCCCUCAUAAAUGUCAUGACAAAGUGGUUAAGGGAAGUAACUAAGCCUAUCUAUACCUGUUGCAUGCCUUUUCAUAGCGUCAUCAGUGUGAAAGUAUAUGAGAAGUUGGUUUUGACCCUCAUGCUUUUCCGGGGGCUCAGCUACUAAUUCUUUUGUUACUGUUGAUGACUGUGACUGUGACUCCGUGCCUUGCACUAAACAUUUCUUUUUGGAAAGCUUUUCAAUAAAAAUUUAGUGUUAUUUUUAUUGCUGUGUGGCAGAUAUAUGAACAUUAAAAAUGCUGCAAACAAGUAAAUGCCAUGGUGCCAUUGCAUAUUAGAUGGAUGUACAGAUAUGUUGUUACGUUUUUACACCCUCAACUUUACAGAAAUUGCCAUGCUCUGCCAAAAGCGUUGUUUCUUUAACGAUCUGGUUGACAACUUGCUGGCUUAAAGUUUUUCCUCUGUGGCCUAUUUCAUACUCUAGUUCUGCCUCUGUGUACAUAGUUAUGGUGCUUGAUGGCGUUCAGAAAAACCUCACUGCGAAAGAGAAAGUUUUAAAAUGAUUUUGUUUGCCUGAGAUUAAAGCCCUUUUUUGAAUUUGGAUGAAAUAAUGUUGGAAAACAUUACAGGGGUAGAGAAAUAAAGUGUUGUUUAUUUUGAUGUACCAAGAAAAAUGUCUUGCAUUUCAAGCUGGGUGAGACAAAUAUGUACAUAUGUGUAUGUGGUUGUUUGUCAGGGUUUUUUUUUGUCCAUUUCAAAAAGCCAAAAUCUGCCAAAAUCUAAAAAUCUUUGACUUGAGAUGUUGAUCUUGAUUUGGUACUAUUAGUUCUACAGAGUGGCAUACUGCUGGCAAGUAACAGCAUUAUCUUGUAUAUGGGAUGUCUGCUUGCUUUUGAUUUCUGAAAAUGAAAGAAGCCAUUUUCCAGUCUUUGUGUGUAAGAAUGUUUAGUCUUGAAAGACUGAUUGAAAACCCUUCCACCUCACAUCAUAUUUAUUUGUUCUUCCAUUUCCACUGACAAAAUAACAAUGUUUAUGCUAUGGUCCUUCAGUAGCUCAAUGUGAUAGCAGUAGUGAUACAUUUGUCAUUUAUCCUGAAUAAAGGUUGUGAAUAACAUUGUGGAGUAGCUCAGAAGAUUUGACAAAGGAGAAAAA